AAACUUUCAACAACGGAUCUCUUGGCUCUCGCAUCGAUGAAGAACGCAGCGAAAUGCGAUAAGUAAUGUGAAUUGCAGAAUUCAGUGAAUCAUCGAAUCUUUGAACGCACCUUGCGCUCCUUGGUAUUCCGAGGAGCAUGCCUGUUUGAGUGUCAU
rnacentral:rRNA from 13 species